rnacentral:rRNA from 1 species
UACGUAGGGACCGAGCGUUGUCCGGAAUCAUUGGGCGUAAAGAGCGUGUAGGCGGCUUGCUAAGUCUUGCGUGAAAUCUCGGGGCUCAACCCCGAGCGGUCGUGGGAAACUGGCAGGCUAGAGUGCGGGAGAGGAGAAUGGAAUUCCUGGUGUAGCGGUGAAAUGCGCAGAUAUCAGGAGGAACACCGGUGGCGAAGGCGGGUCUCUGGGCCGGUACUAACGCUGAGACGCGAAAGCGUGGGGAGCGAACAGG